ACCUAACUUGGAAGUGUUUCAAGUGUGAAAGGACUCCUCCAUGCCACCUGAUGUCCACACCAAAAAUAAAUGCCGCUCAUUCCUUUCAUGUGUUAAGGAAGAGGAGAGUCCUUCUUCUUUAAGGCUCUUGACAUCUCUUCAUUCUUCACCAGUUACCUUAAUUAUCACAUGCCAGAAUUUAGUAUGAAAAUUAUGGGGCUU
rnacentral:lncRNA from 1 species